UCGUAAUGCGCUUCAAGCUAAAUUAUCAUAAAAUCUAUCACUUAAUGUAUUUUUUUCAUAUAUUUUUGAAUUAUUAGACACGAAAUGGGGUAGCCUGUCUCCAUCUGACCAUGAAAAUUAAAAAAUAAUCGUACUGUCGAAAAAGCAGUCAUAAUGAAAUAGUGUUAUUUUUGCGGCUAGCACAGCUUAUAAUAUAAUGAAAGGGAAUAAUCUGUAUGUGUUGUGUACAUCUUUAAUAAGUUUAGUUUUAUAAGUGUUUUAAGUGUUAAUUUCUGAAAUUGCUAUAUGUAUGGAGGUAAAGGAUAAAAAAGUGUGUUAUCUUAGUCAUUUCAUGGAAUUAAAAGGAUAUAAAAAUGAUAAUAAAAUCUUGGAAUUAUACCUAUACAGGCAAAAGGUUUCUGAUAACGACUCGGAAUAAAUAACUGCAUAUAUACCAGGACGUCGUAGACUUGCCACAUAACGCCGUUGUUUCCCACCUUGGUACGAAGUUCUACGGUUUCUCCAAGAUACGCCUUGUUUCGAUAGAAACACCUAGUUGGACAUAUGGCUUAACACUUCGUUUAAACAAAGAUCCUAAGUGAUACUGACAGUCCGCAUAAAAGGGCAGCCAAGGACAAACAUAGGAGGAUCCCGGAAUGCAGUCUUUUCUAAACGAAACCCCACAAAAGCGAAUGGCUGGAUAUGUGACAGUGGAGUGCAGUUAGAAAAAAUAACUUUGUUUCUUUUGUAAUAAUCAUAAAAAUGUAGAUGAUUACCAUAACCAAUAGACUGAUUCAAAAUUUAGAAGAUGGACAUUAAAAAUAAUCUGAAAAUUAUUGCCACUAGCUGUCCAAGAAAGGUAGUUGAUGUCCUGUAAAUGCUUAUUUGCAAGGCAAUGAUAAAAACAUAUUCAUCUUACAUAUAAUUAUGUCUCUUAUAUGAUAUGAUAUAUAUAAUGAUAUUUGUGCAGUUUGCAGAAUGGAAUUAGUGCAUUAAUACCAGUUUAUUUUCGUGAAAUAUAAUAUUGCUACGUAUAUAUGUAUAUUUUGUGUCCUAUAAGUCCAUUUAGCCAGCUGCUGUGUUCAACUGAGUACGUCCCCGACAUAUAUAUGAAUAAAGUGUCAACUUAUUUCCUUACAUAUGCUAGCUACAAAAAUUACAAGAUAAAUCCCAUGCCAAACCACCCUUGCUUCAAAAAGCAAAUAACUUUGUGUUUACUUUCAAACAGAUUGUUAACUUAUAACAAACUUUUCUUUCAUAUCAGGAAGACAAAAUCUUUGGUUGUUAGCCUAACUUUUCGUCUUAGUUAAAUGUAGGAGAACUUGAGUUUAGACAAUAAAUACAGUUAAAUA